AGGAGGAACCACCCCAGUGACAGCGGCCAGCUCUGGAGCCCUGGAUUCAGCCCCCGCAGUAACUAGGGAGCUCUCUGUCUGCAGGGCGUGGAUGCUCGGGGCAGGG
rnacentral:pre_miRNA from 1 species